rnacentral:lncRNA from 1 species
AUAUGGAAAAUGUCUGGGAUCUUUUAUUUCAUCUCAUGAAACAUAGGACUAAAACUUUACAUGUUGCGUUUUAUAUUUUUGUUCAGUAUAGUUGAAAAAAACUGUGAGUGAGCCUGAGUGACAAGAGAACAGAUGUUAACAGACACGGUAARACUGGAAUGUAGAACAAGUGACUUCACUUCCUACUCUGUACUGAAACUGGAAAUAGUUUAUUUAACCUAAUGAUGAGGAACUUCUGUCCUUUCUGGGAAAACACGAUAGAAUAGCCAUCAUGUGAUUGGUGUGUGACAACAACACAGCUGGGGGUGACAGUGAGAAGCCUUGGUAGCUGAUGGUCAAAAGAUGUAGCUAACUAGCCUUUUCUACAUCGUAGCCUACCUAUUAGCUAUGAUAACCAUCCUAUUAUUUAAAGAAGUAACCAAGCUGUCACGUUUCUUAAAAAUCACUAGCUCUAACAUGACAGCUAGUUAGUUACACCUAUUAAGGAGCUACAGUCUGGCUAAAUUAGAUGAUAUUGGCUUAACUACUAACUUACCUAGCUAGUUACUAGAUAAACAUCAUCCAACACAACAUAGCCAAGAUCAUAACCUUACCACUUUGUGAAGAGUGUCAUUGACAUGGGAGGUCUUUAACCAAGUAAAAUCUUAAAAUUGCUUGAUAGGACGGCGACGGCUCGGAAGUGCAGGGUUGAGACCACGUACUACGUAGCUUUGCUGUGGUAACUCAAUACAGACAGUUAGCUYCCAAGCUACAGUAGCUAGCUAGCUGUCAACGGAUCUGGUUAGCAACUUUGUAGAAAAUAGGCUAACGCGUUAAUGUCUCGCCUUUCUUGACGACUCCAGGACAACCACAGCCAAUGUCAGCGAUUAAAAUGAAAUUUUCUUCAGCCAACGACCAAUCAACUGCUGCUGCUCUAGGCUGUGAGGACCUCCUUAAGCCCAUGGAUCCACCACGAAUAGACCAGCAGCUCUUGGGGAGAUGGGCCCUCGUCGCAGGAAGCCUGAGCAACCCUUUAUCACUGGAGGCUCUCGACCAGGCGAUGGAUGAGUACAGGCGACAGGUGGAGUGCCUGGGGCUGCCUCUGCCAGUGGUGAUGGAGCCUGGGAAUGCCCUCUGUGGAUAUUCUGUCUUUCGUCUAAUCUGGAGAGAUAAAAGAURGAUCAGUGUGAUCAGAGAGAGUACCGAUGAUCAGAGAGUGGGGGCAGUGAGACAAAUGUAGACACUUUUUCUGUCAUCUGUUAUGUUAUUUGAUCUGUUAUGUAACAAUUCUGCGUUUACUGUUUCUCGAUGUACUGUAUCAUUUGUAAUAAAAAUGAAUGAUUUAUUAGAGUACGUAUCCUUUGUUAAUAAAAAUGAAUGAUUUAUUAUAUCAAAA